AGAGUUUGAUCCUGGCUCAGGAUGAACGCUAGCGGCAGGCCUAACACAUGCAAGUCGAGGGAGAGGUUACCUUCGGGUAACCAAAACCGGCGCACGGGUGCGUAACGCGUAUACAAUCUGCCUUUCACAUAGGGAUAGCCCGAAGAAAUUUGGAUUAAUACCUAAUGGUAUAUAGGAGCGGCAUCGUUUUUAUAUUAAAGCUACGGUGGUGAAAGAUGAGUAUGCGUUCUAUUAGCUAGUUGGAGAGGUAACGGCUCCCCAAGGCGACGAUAGAUAGGGGUUCUGAGAGGGAUGUCCCCCACACUGGUACUGAGAUACGGACCAGACUCCUACGGGAGGCAGCAGUGAGGAAUAUUGGACAAUGGUCGGAAGACUGAUCCAGCCAUGCCGCGUGCAGGAUGAAGGUCCUAUGGAUUGUAAACUGCUUUUGUAAGGGAAGAAUAAGGAGUACGUGUACUUUGAUGACGGUACCUUACGAAUAAGCAUCGGCUAACUCCGUGCCAGCAGCCGCGGUAAUACGGAGGAUGCGAGCGUUAUCCGGAAUCAUUGGGUUUAAAGGGUCCGUAGGCGGGCUGAUAAGUCAGAGGUGAAAGCGCUUAGCUCAACUAAGCAACUGCCUUUGAAACUGUCAGUCUUGAAUGAUUGUGAAGUAGUUGGAAUGUGUAGUGUAGCGGUGAAAUGCUUAGAUAUUACACAGAACACCGAUAGCGAAGGCAUAUUACUAACAAUUUAUUGACGCUGAUGGACGAAAGCGUGGGGAGCGAACAGGAUUAGAUACCCUGGUAGUCCACGCU
rnacentral:rRNA from 1 species